rnacentral:rRNA from 2 species
UAGGGAAUCUUCCGCAAUGGGCGAAAGCCUGACGGAGCAACGCCGCGUGAGUGAUGAAGGUCUUCGGAUCGUAAAACUCUGUUAUUAGGGAAGAACAAAUGUGUAAGUAACUAUGCACGUCUUGACGGUACCUAAUCAGAAAGCCACGGCUAACUACGUGCCAGCAGCCGCGGUAAUACGUAGGUGGCAAGCGUUAUCCGGAAUUAUUGGGCGUAAAGCGCGCGUAGGCGGUUUUUUAAGUCUGAUGUGAAAGCCCACGGCUCAACCGUGGAGGGUCAUUGGAAACUGGAAAACUUGAGUGCAGAAGAGGAAAGUGGAAUUCCAUGUGUAGCGGUGAAAUGCGCAGAGAUAUGGAGGAGCACCAGUGGCGAAGGCGACUUUCUGGUCUGUAACUGACGCUGAUGUGCGAAAGCGUGGGGAUCAAACAGG